rnacentral:rRNA from 1 species
CCCUUAGAUGUUCUGGGCCGCACACGCGCUACACUGAAGGAGGCAGCGUGUACUCCUGGAUCGAAAGAUUUGGGUAACCCGCGAAUCUCCUUCGUGCUAGGGAUUGAGGUUUGCAAUUAUCCUUCAUGAACGAGGAAUUCCCAGUAAGUGCAAGUCAUAAGCUUGCGCUGACUACGUCCCUGCCCUUUGUACACACCGCCCGUCGCUCCUACCGAUUGAAUGAUUUAGUGAGGACUUCGGACUGGGACCGAUGCGGCUUUCGGGCUGCGUCGGUAUUCUGGAAAGAUGUCCAAACUGUAUCAUUUAGAGGAAGUAAAAGUCGUAACA